AACCGCCGCCGCCGCCGCCGCCGCCGCCGGGCCGCGCCGGGCUCGGCUCCUCCGAACCGUCUGGCGGACUUGGCACCGGCCCCGGCUCCUCAGUGCCCCCGCGAUGAGUAAACUGAGGCUCAGAAAUACUAAGUUACUUGCCUAAGAGACACAGCUAAAGAUUGAGAGAAGUGACCAUUCGACCCAGGGCUCCAGAAAUCAUCCCUGAACUUCAAAUUCAAGUCUUUGCAACCAGAACCACGGAAGUCCG